AUUGAACGCUGGCGGCAUGCCUUACACAUGCAAGUCGAACGGUAACGGGCCUUCGGGUGCCGACGAGUGGCGAACGGGUGAGUAAUACAUCGGAACGUGCCCGAUCGUGGGGGAUAACGAGGCGAAAGCUUUGCUAAUACCGCAUACGAUCUACGGAUGAAAGCAGGGGACCGCAAGGCCUUGCGCGGACGGAGCGGCCGAUGGCAAAUUAGGUAGUUGGUGGGAUAAAAGCUUACCAAGCCGACGAUCUGUAGCUGGUCUGAGAGGAUGAUCAGCCACACUGGGACUGAGACACGGCCCAGACUCCUACGGGAGGCAGCAGUGGGGAAUUUUGGACAAUGGGCGCAAGCCUGAUCCAGCCAUGCCGCGUGCAGGAUGAAGGCCUUCGGGUUGUAAACUGCUUUUGUACGGAACGAAAAGCCUUCUUCUAAUACAGGAGGGUCAUGUCGGUACCGUAAGAAUAAGCACCGGCUAACUACGUGCCAGCCGCCGCGGUAA
rnacentral:rRNA from 1 species